rnacentral:rRNA from 1 species
GGUCGAGCGGAGAAAAGCUUGCUCUUCGAUUCACGGCGGACGGGUGAGUAAUACCUAGAAUCUGCCUGGUAGUGGGGGACAACGUUUCAAAGGAACGCUAUACCGCAACGCCCUACGGGGAAAGCAGGGACCUUCGGGCCUUGCGCUAUCAAUGAGCCUAGGUCGGAUUACUAGUUGGUGAGGUAAUGGCUCACCAAGGCGACAUCCGUAACUGGUCUGAGAGGAUGAUCAGUCCCUGGAACUGAGACACGGUCCAGACGGGAGGCAGCAGUGGGGAAUAUUGGACAAUGGGCGAAAGCCUGAUCCAGCCAUGCCGCGUGUGUGAAGAAGGUCUUCGGAUUGUAAAGCACUUUAAGUUGGGAGGAAGGGUACUUACCUAAUACGUGAGUAUUUUGACGUUACCGACAGAAUAAGCACCGGCUAACUCUGUGCCAGCAGCCGCGGUAAUACAGAGGGUGCAAGCGUUAAUCGGAAUUACUGGGCGUAAAGCGCGCGUAGGUGGUUCGUUAAGUUGGAUGUGAAAUCCCCGGGCUCAACCUGGGAACUGCAUCCAAAACUGGCGAGCUAGAGUAGGGCAGAGGGUGGUGGAAUUUCCUGUGUAGCGGUGAAAUGCGUAGAUAUAGGAAGGAACACCAGUGGCGAAGCGACCACCUGGGCUCAUACUGACACUGAGGUGCGAAAGCGUGGGGAGCAAACAGGAUUAGAUACCCUGGUAGUCCACGCCGUCGAUGUCAACUAGCCUUGGAAUCCUUGAAUUUUAGUGGCGCACUGCAUAAGUUGACGCCGGGGAGUACGCCGCAAGGUUAAAACUCAAAUGAAUGAGGGGCCGCACAACGGUGACGUGGUUUAAUUCGAACACGCAACCUUACCUGACUGCAAAAUUCAAGAUGCCUGUCUGACCCUGCAGCCGCUCGCCAACGACCUGUAG